GACGAACGCUGGCGGCGUGCUUAACACAUGCAAGUCGAGCGAGGGACUUCGGUCCCUAGCGGCGGACGGGUGAGUAACACGUGGGUAACCUGCCUCAAAGAGGGGGAUAGCCUCCCGAAAGGGAGAUUAAUACCGCAUAAGAUCAUAGCUUCGCAUGGAGCAGUGAUUAAAGGAGUAAUCCGCUUUGAGAUGGACCCGCGGCGCAUUAGCUAGUUGGAGAGGCAACGGCUCACCAAGGCGACGAUGCGUAGCCGACCUGAGAGGGUGAUCGGCCACAUUGGAACUGAGACGCGGUCCAGACUCCUACGGGAGGCAGCAGUGGGGAAUAUUGCACAAUGGGCGAAAGCCUGACGGAGCGACGCCGCGUGAAGGAUGAAGUGCUUCGGCAUGUAAACUUCUUUUAUUAGGGAAAAAGUUUAUUGAUUGUACCUAACGAAUAAGGGGUUGCUAAACUCGUGCCAGCCGCCGCCGUAACAC
rnacentral:rRNA from 1 species